GGCAGGUUCUUCUUAGAGAGUACCGUGUGUGAAGAUUUUUCUUAACUGUGGAUGGUUGUUUUGUGAGCAAUGAGAUUCUUUAGAAAAGGUAGUGAUGUUGUUAUCUGAGUUUGAAUUGAUAGUGUGUGGUGAUCUUCUCAAGUUAAAAGGGGAGUGUAUGAAUGAAGGAAGUGGGUAAGAGGCAGAGAAGGCAAAGUUAGUCUACGGUUUCUAGCCACAGUGUCAACCUUGAAGUGAGAGUGUGUUAAUGGAAGUUAAACAGAGAGAGUUGGUCAAUGAGACGAAGAAGAUGAGCUAGGUUUUAGUUUCAAGUGUAGUGACAAUCUUGAGGUGAGGAAGCAUUAACUGUGGUUAGAAACAGAAAUAAGAUUCAAGUUCUUGGUUUAAUAAGGAUUGAGUACGAGUUGGUUUAAAAGUAUGAAAACUAGGGUCUGAGGUCAAGUGGUACGUAGAAUUCAUUAGUGUAUAGUAUGAUAUCUGGGCCGAGCGGUUAAAGAUAUAUCUUAUUCAAGAUAUAAAAUAAUCAAGAAUAUCUAUUUAUAGAUAUUUAGUAACUAACCAGAUUUUCAGGUAAGUCUGUUUAUAUUUUAUUUUGUUUAUAUUUUGUUGGGCUUAUAUCAGUUUAAGGUCCAUAAGACAAAUUAUAAAUAGAGAGCCAAUGCAACAAGCCAGGUAACUUCCGAUCAACUUCAAAUCACCCUCCAAUCAUCUUCCAAUCAUACUUCAUUCAUAUUCAACUCAUAUUCUCAAAUACUCAAAUAGUGAAAACCCUUCACGAAUAUUCAAU
rnacentral:lncRNA from 1 species